rnacentral:misc_RNA from 1 species
AGAUGGAUCAUUCAUAAGCGAAAGACUUAGCUUUUUUGGCCAUAUGAUACAAACGAACUUAUGGACUUUGGUUACGUUACAUAAUCAUCAAAGCAUCACUAAAGUUUUAUAAUUUUCAGCGAUGGAUGUCUUGGGUCCCGCAACGAUGAAGAGUGCAGCUAGGUGCAAUAUGCAGUUUGAUUUGCAAACUUCAGUGAAACAUUAGAUGCUUGAACGUGAAAGGUACUUCCGGAUUUUUUCCGGAAGUGUGCUCACUUCAGUGCUCCAUAUUAUUGCUGUCAUCCCAAAGAUUAGAUGACGUGCAUAGCUGCUGUUACGUUUAAUGGUGGCUCGAGUUAAAUAGUACUAGCUUUCUGGUGGUAAAGAAGAGUUACUGCUAACCAUUUCUUUUAAAAGGAGCUUGAAUUUGAGUGAGGCUACCCGCUGAACUUAAGCAUAUUAUUAAGCGGAGGAAAAGAAACUAACUAGGAUUUCCUCAGUAACUGCGAGUGAACAGGAAAGCGCUCAAACUGAAAAUGGACAUUUAAUGUCUAAUUGUAGUUUCAUGAAGUGCAGCUUGUGAUUGUUCUGGGCUUAAGUCUCUUGGAAGAGAGUACUAUGAAGGGUGAAAGUCCCGUUUCAGCUCAGCAAUAAUUACGCUAAGUGCAUUUUCAAAGAGUCGCGCUCUUUGUGAUUAGAGCUCUAAGCCGGUGAUAAAUUUCAUCUAAAGCUAAAUAUUAGUGGGGUCCCGAUAGCGUACAAGUACCGUGAGGGAAAGAUGAAAAGGACUUUGAAAAGAGAGUUAAAAGGAACUGAAAUUGCUGUAAAGGAAGUAGAGAGUUUGAGCAGUCCAACGAAUCUUACUGUUAGCAAGGUUGAUAAGAACCAUUGCUGCAGUUUAAGUUUUGUGGUGACUUUGGAAGAGAUUGUUUUCCCUGUAAAAGUAUUGAUGUGUUUCCUUCUGGGUUGCACAUCCUUUACUGACCUUGGGAUAGAUAACUCUAAUUGCUAAUGGUACCUUUGUGGUAACAUUAUAGUAUUCCAUUGUUUCUCGUUUCUCUCUGCCCCGUCUUGAAACACGGACCAAGGAGUCUACUUUUUGUGCAAGUGUACGGGUGGAAAACCAGUGCGCGAAAUUAACGUAAUUAUUAAGAAAGGUUACUGGCAUUAAGUCCCGGUUAAAAGGCUGAGGUUGAGCAUAAAGAGUAGGACCCGAAAGAUGGUGAACUAUGCCUGAGUAGGGUGAAGCUGGAGGAAACUCUGGUGGAAGCUCGCAGCGAUACUGACGUGCAAAUCGUUCGUCAAACUUGGGUAUAGGGGCGAAAGACUAAUCGAACUAUCUAGUAGCUGGUUCCCUC